ACACUUUGUAUUGUGAUGGACCAAUGAAUCGUUACACUUGUUAGGUAAACCAUCAUUUAGGGCCAAUCACUACACAGGUAUUUUUAUCAUGACACUUUGUAUUGUGAUGGACCAAUGAAUCGUUACACUUGUUAGGUAAACCAUCAUUUAGGGCCAAUCACUACACAGGUAUUUUUAUCAUGACACUUUGUAUUGUGAUGGACCAAUGAAUCGUUACACUUGUUAGGUAAACCAUCAUUUAGGGCCAAUCACUACACAGGUAUUUUUAUCAUGACACUUUGUAUUGUGAUGGACCAAUGAAUCGUUACACUUGUUAGGUAAACCAUCAUUUAGGGCCAAUCACUACACAGGUAUUUUUAUCAUGACACUUUGUAUUGUGAUGGACCAAUGAAUCGUUA